rnacentral:rRNA from 1 species
AAAUCAACUUUAUAACGGCGUAAAGAGUGGUAACAUGCUAUCCAAGUAACUAAGAUUAAAAAGCAACUGAGCUGUCGCAAGCCCAAGAUGCGUAUAAGGCCUCCAUUCAAAGAAGAUCUUAGACCAACGACCAAUUGAAAUCCACGAAAGCCAGGGCCCAAACUGGGAUUAGAUACCCCACUAUGCCUGGCCCUAAAUCUUGAUGCUCAACCUUACCGGAGCAUCCGCCCGAGAACUACGAGCGCAAACGCUUAAAACUCUAAGGACUUGGCGGUGUCCCAAACCCACCUAGAGGAGCCUGUUCUGUAAUCGAUGAUCCACGAUAUACCUGACCAUUCCUUGCCACAAACAGCCUAUAUACCGCCGUCGCCAGCCCACCCACAGUGAAGGACCAACA